GACCCGGUUGCACAAGGUGUGCAUCUGCCCACAUCGCCCGGGUUUGUAGCAUAAUUAUAGUAGAUAGACCUGGUUCGACUCCAGGCUGGGUCA